UGUGUCAUUUACAAAGGGAUUUUAAUAUUUAUUUAUGUGUAUGUGUCUCAAUAGUCCUGUGAGGUAAAAAUUAUUAUACCCAUUAUUCAAAAGGCAAAGUGAAAGCAUAGAAGAAUCACCUGUGGAGAUUUACACAACACCGAUGCCCUGGAGCCCCGCCCUGAGAUUCUGGUGAAGUCCAUCUCGGGUGCAGUCUGCCGUCAGCAUUAUAAAAGGCCACCAGCUAGACUACAUUUCCCAGCUUCCCUUGCAGUUAGUUGUGGCCAUGCACUGGCUCUAGUCAGUGGGAUGUGAGCAGAAGUGAAGCCCAUAAAUUCCAUGUGCAAUCUUCUGCAGUCUUCCUGUCUCCUGGGCUGGAAUGGAGAUGACCUUGGAAGCCAUGUAUUGAAGAUAGCAGCUCUGCUGUCAACCUGGCCCCUGAAUGACUAUGGAGGACUUCUCAGUGACCUGUUUAUCUGCCCAGUACUGGCAUCUUCCUUUGAAGUGAAGUGGAGGUCAUCUGACAACUUCUACUGGAUGAAUUGUAUGUGGAAAUGGCAUGCGACUCAUGAACCAGGGAAGUGAAGAGCUGGUGUGCCUCUUCCAUCCCUUUCUCUCCUAACCAUGGCAACCUGGGAAUUCACACGUUGAAAUGGCAGCAUCACCAUACAGAGGAAGCUUGGAUCCCUGAGUCACCAGAUGGAGGCAAGAUCUGGCCAACUUGCAUUGGAGUUCAUUUAAGUGGGAAGUAAACUUACAUUGUGUUAAGCCUUUGAGAUUUUUGUUACUGCAGCAUAGCCAAUCUUAUGCUGACUAAACCUUAUUUCCACAUUCUUGUAAAAAUACAGUCUUCUUUAUGAACUCAUUAUAAAUAUAAUGAAGAUAUCGAGAACUCAGACUCAAAUAUCUGAAGUAUCAGGAUAGGAUAAGUGGAGAAACAUUCUGGUCUGCUUCCUUUAG